UACGGGGGGUGCGAGCGUUGUCCGGAAUCACUGGGCGUAAAGGGCGCGUAGGGGGUCUUAUAAGGGUGUGGUGAAAGCCCGGGGCUCAACCCCGGGUCGGCCGUGCCGACUGUAAGACUAGAGUGCUGUAGGGGCAGGCGGAAUUCCGGGUGUAGCGGUGGAAUGCGUAGAGAUCCGGAAGAACACCGGUGGCGAAGGCGGCUCGCUGGGCAGUGGCUGACGCUGAGGCGCGACAGCGUGGGGAGCAAACAGG
rnacentral:rRNA from 1 species